rnacentral:rRNA from 1 species
ACGGCUCAGUAACACGUGGACAACCUACCNUGAGGAGGGGGAUAACCCCCGGGAAACUGGGGAUAAUACCCCAUAGACUAUGGAUGCUGGAAUGCUCUGUAGUUAAAAGGCCCGCCGCNUCAGGAUGGGUCUGCGGCCGAUUAGGUUGUUGUUGGGGUAACGGCCCAACAAGCCUGUAAUCGGUACGGGUUGUGGGAGCAAGAGCCCGGAGAUGGAUUCUGAGACACGAAUCCAGGCCCUACGGGGCGCAGCAGGCGCGAAAACUUUACAAUGCGAGCAAUCGUGAUAAGGGAACUCCGAGUGCCCGUAAAAUCGGGCUGUCCGCCAGUGUAAAUAACUGGUGAAGAAAGGGCCGGGCAAGACCGGUGCCAGCCGCCGCGGUAAUACCGGCGGCUCGAGUGGUGGCCACUAUUACUGGGCUUAAAGCGUUCGUAGCUGGUCUGUUAAGUCUCUGGGGAAAUCUUCCGGCUUAACCGGAAGGCGUCUCAGGGAUACUGACAGACUAGGGACCGGAAGAGGUGAGAGGUACUCCAGGGGUAGGAGUGAAAUCCUGUAAUCCUUGGGGGACCACCUGUGGCGAAGGCGUCUCACCAGGACGGCUCCGACAGUGAGGAACGAAAGCUGGGGGAGCAAACCGGAUUAGAUACCCGGGUAGUCCCAGCUGUAAACGAUGCGCGUUAGGUGUAUCGGUGACCACGAGUCACCGAGGUGCCGAAGAGAAAUCGUGAAACGCGCCGCCUGGGAAGUACGGUCGCAAGGCUGAAACUUAAAGGAAUUGGCGGGGGAGCAC